rnacentral:lncRNA from 1 species
AUUCUUAAUUCUAUAAGGUUGAAUAAAAAUUCGAUUGACCAUUUGAUAUAAUUGCUAUGCUUAGUGUGUGACUCGUGGGUUUUGUUAGGGUUAGGAUUAAAAAAACCCAGCCCACAUAGUAUGAACUAAAAACUAUAGAACUAAUAACCAACCCAUCACUUCGCAUUAUCUGGAUCUAAAGAACCAGUCAAGAUAUGAUAUAUAGGUCAUAUCUUUGUAGCAACUGAAAUCUUUUGCAUAAACAAAAAAAUCUGCUUCUAAGUUGUAAAGCAAAAUAGACAAAAAAGAUGUGGAUAAAGGGAAGGAUGAGAGAAAGAGAGAAAAAGAAUAGCCCAUUUAUACAGAAUGGUAAAGGGGCUUCUAUGAUCAUCGACCAUAGAAAUAGAAAUGAAGCGUUAAUCCUUACCAACUUGAUCUUGUUGCUCCUGGCAACAAACAUGCAUGAACCAUUUCACGAAGUAUGUGUCCGGAUAGGCCAAAGUCUCGAUAGUUAGCUCUCGGCCUUCCGGUCUAGUCAUUUGUACACACUUAAUAAUAAUAAAGUUAUUAACUUUAUAUUAAUGCUUAAGACAUAUUUCUAAAUAUUAUUAAAUAAAAUUGUUAAGAAAAUUCGUACAAGUAUUAUGAUAAUGUAGUAUUAAUGGAUAUACUCAAUUAUAAACGCAAUUGGUUCUUUUCCAAAUACUUACCCAACUUAUACAAUAAUAAUGUUACAGUUGCCUUGCUUCAAUUGAAGAUUUUUUUUUGAAAAAUAAAAAAUAAAAAUUAACAAAAUCUUAUAUAUAAUCAAUAGUAUAAGAAAGAGUACAUGAAUUAGCUCUAUUAUUAAUUAAAAACAAUAUUCGGAAAAUUAAUCAUAAUCUUUGUAUACUUUAAUUUUGCUUUGAUCGACAUCCAAGCACUUAAUUAACAUAAAUAUCGGUUAGUAUCAAAUUAAAGAUACUAUGCCAUUGCAUCGUUAAAAUAUGUUUGAAUUGACCUAAUUUAGAUAUUUUUAACCUAAUAUAAUAAUUAAAUAUUAUUAAAAUGUUAGUAAAUUUUAAAAAAAUAUUUAUGAGCACUUCAAUUUAAGAUAAAUUUAUUAAAAAUAAGCCAAAGUACUUUUAAACUAUAAGUCAAAAAUCAAAAACUAUUUAGAAAGAAAAAAUAUGAAUAAAAUGUUGAUUAGCUAAUUUAUAAAUUUGUAUGUAGAAAAUCAAGCUAAGCGUUUACUCAAACUCCAUAUAAAUAGUCGGAACUCCGAAUCUGAAGUGUGGAGGAGCUCCACGAAAAAUCCGGCGCCGGAGAUGGACCUCGUAGCAACACUUCAGUCGGAACUGGAGACUCUUCGAAGCAGGACGAAGGUAACUUUUGAUAAUUUUUAAAAAAAUCAACUUCUAACAAUAAUUAAUAUUCCAUUAUCGAUGUUUAUUGUGCUGAAAUCUUCUACUGGAAAAAUAGGUUUUGGAAUCUGAAAAUGCUAAAUUAUCUGCUCAGCUUUCGAAUUGCAGUUGCCAAGAGGUUAUUGCUACUUCAACAUAAUAUCCAGAUUUUUUUGAUAAAGUAAAGUAUUCAGAUAUAUUUAUAUUUUUCUAUGUAGAUUUUAAUGUGCUGUUAUUGCUAUGUAGUCAAAGGAGAAAGGUAAUGACUCUGUUCUGAAAAACGGAGUUUUGGAAGGUCACGGAAAGAAGAAAAAUAAGCUCAGAGAUUUAGGUUUGUAUAGAUUUUUCUUUUUGGUGAUUGGAAUAUAUUGCUGUAGUUUUAUAUGCAGCGUGAAAGCCGAAAGGGUGUCUUACAUUAUUUGAAGUGUUAAAAUUAGUGAAGAGAGUGGAUUAGCUGAGUUCCAUUUUAUAAUCAUUUUGUCUGGGCCAGCUUGUGCACACCUGCCACCUUCGACUAGAUAUAGGAAACACCCUUGGUUUAGCUAUGGGUUUUUUUAUGUACUGAAUGACCUAUCGCUUUAUUUUAAGGUGUAAUAUGUCAGCUAUCUUUACAAGUUGAUAUUGUAAUUUGAUUUGGAAACCUGCUGAAAUGUUCCUCUUUCAUUUUUUGAUACUGUAAUUCGAAAUGGAGAUUGCUUGAACGUUCCUGUUUUGUUUGUAGGUUAUGGCGCAAUGAUGCAUCACUCGAAAAGAUAUGUUGCUUUGAAAGUCAUGUAUUUUGGUUUGAGGUACACAUCUUGCUAGUAGUUUAGUAGGAUUGUAUUGUCAAUGUGGCCACUGAAAAGAGAGGAAGGAAGUUGUUAGUUGAGAACAUGCAGAAGACUUUCAUUCUAUUUGUGUAGGAUUGGCUCUUCAUCAGUAGUUACUUAAGUGUGAACUGAAAGUAGAGCAAAAAAGUGUAAGCAAAAAGGCUAAAAGUGGUUUAAAAUAUUUUGGGCAAGAUAAUUGUCAGCUUGCUGAUAAAAAAAUUAUUUUGGACAAGAUAAAAUUGGGCUUCUUACUUGUUCUUAAAUUUCUUUUAGCCCUGUAAAACCAUCUCGUUAGUCUUAAGCACAAGAAUGUAAGGUCUCAAGAGGGACCAAAAGAAGAGAAUAAGCGGUAACAAAGAGAUCACACAAAUUUCAGUGGAUUACUAAAGAAUAAAAUAAGAGGUAACAAAGAGAUCACACAAUUUCAGUGGAUUACUAAAUGUUAAGUUCAUAAACUCUUUAGGGCAUUGCUUUUUCAUCAGACCAUAGAUGUGAAUGUAAUAUAUAGCAUAAGAUUAGGCUAUAAAGGAGGUGUUGACAUUGGAAACAGUUGAAAAGCUAAAUGCACCUGAAAGAAAAAGGGGAAAGGAUACUUGAUUUCCUGUAAAGCUUAUCUUGCAACCUCGACAAGAUUUCUCGUACAGGAGAGUUUAUUUCAGUUUUAAAAGAGCCUCAAACAAGGCAAUACUUAAAACACAGCCCUCUUUAGGUAGCAUGUAAUCUUUAAGUUGGGUUUAACUGCUGAAUACUUUAUAUUUAAGCAACAAAGUUGGUACUUAUUGUUAUUUUUGUCUUAGUUCCCAACAAUAAGAAUAUUACAAAAGAUAUCUUACCCAUUAACCGAACAUCAUCUUGUCUGAUCAUAUUUUGUUAUUUGACAUUUGACUUCAGCCAAAAGUGAGCCACUUAUCAGAAGGCAUUUAUAGUAAUUUCAUGAAGGAGUUCCAAUCAUACUUAGAAAAAAAUUCCAAUUUGAGAUUGGGAAAAUAAAGAAUAAGAAUGCAUGGUUCUAAUUCAUCAGAUAGAAUAUUAAAAGAAGUGGAUUAAUUCAUGGAAUACAUUUUUGAUAUUUUAAUCUGGCGUUACUUCACUUUUGUUAUAGUAAUUUCUUCUACAACAUUUCAUCUAGAAGCAGAGAUGAAGACAUCUAAUGUCACCUGGAAAAGGGGUUAUGUACAACCAACUUAAGCUGCAUCCUGAUCCUAACUCCAAAUGGCCCUGUUAAUAACUCCACAUAGAUUGUCUAGUGGUUCUAUGAAGUUAAGGACGGAGCUCCUUAUUUCAUUCUGGAAUGCUAAUGGUUGGCGGUGGAUCUGUCACCUUUUUUUACCUUAUGCAGAUUAAGUGUGAUUUAAGUAUUAACUAAGCUGAAGGUGCAUGUACAUUGUGUUUCUACCAUCCUAUUUUAGUUGGAGUCUGCAUUUUUUUACUUUAUGCAAAUAUUAGCAAGUCCUUGUUUAUGCGGUAACAGUGUUCUCAUGCUGCAUUACAGGUUUUAUGGUUUUGCUUCGGAGGCUCAAAUGGAUCCCACUGUUGAGGUCUUAUGUUCUCCUCUGAGAUGAUUAUCCUUUUAAGAAUUGGACCAGCAUUUAAUGUGACAGACAUAGACUAACCAAGUACAUGCAACAAUAUGUUCUACAUGUUUGGUCUUACUCCUUGUUUAAAUCAUAGUCCACGUUUCCCGUCCUUUAAAUUGAGAGAUUUAAAGGACUGAAAGACUUAAGCUACUGAAAGAGUUAAUCUGGUGUUUUUCUGGGAGAAUCUUGUUUCCUUGCAUGUAUUGCACAGUUUGAACUAUUUAAUCUUUGCACAAGUUGUUUUGGACUUUUGGUGCCUCUUCACUCCAGUGGUAGCGCUUGGGUGGCUCUAUUGUUCGCAUUUUAGUAUCUCAAUAGAGUAUUUUGUUUGCACAUGCUGAUGGUUUCUUCAUGCAGGGUGAACUUUUCAAAGCUCUAGAGAGGACAAGACUCAUAUUUGGAGACAAGAAGGAAUUGCAAUACUCACGAUGUGGUAGAACCGAUAAGGGAGUUUCCUCUGUUGGCCAAGUAAGUGGAAGAGCAAUUAAUUUCUUGUAUGUUUGUUCACUAAAAGGUAACCUAUAUUUUGACAAUGUUUUUUUUUUUGAUAAUUUGACACAUAUCCCAAGAGAGAAAAUAUAAAGUUUGAUUCUUUUAUCCAUAUAAUUGUUAUUUAUGAUUAUAAUUAUUAUUCUUUAAUUCCUUUUCAUUUCUUUUUCUUCGUUUGCGCCUUCCUUUAUUAAAUCCAGAACUUUAUUUGUGCUUUGGCUUAAAACUUUAAUCUAACUUAUCCCUUUUUUGCAUUUCUCAUCUUUGAUAACACUCUCUUUUAUAUGUCUUUUAAAACAUAUAAAUUACUUGUUGCAGGUGAUUGCUCUGUUCUUAAGGUCAAACCAUAGGGAAUCAAGAGGGGACAAUAAGUAUCCUGGGGAAAAUUCUAUUGAAGAAUCAUGUGGUCUGCUGAUAUCUCCUUUCAAUGUACUACUAUGUUUAGCCUUUCUGAUUGUCAUCUGCCAUGUAUUUACUGAAAUGGGAUUUGGCACACAUCAGUUGCCUUCCGUUUUCCUGACAUUGCCUCUUAUCUUCUUUCUAUGCAUGUUCUGGUAGUGUAGUUUUAUGGCUGUUAGGUGGCCAUCUUUAGAGAUUGAUUGUGUUGGAGUACUUGGAUUGCACUUCGAUAAAUGACCUUGUAUGUUUCACCAAAACCAAGACACAGAUAUUUCUAAUUCACAUUGAUUAUUAAAGAUGUGCAAAAAGAGAUUGAAGCUUCAAAUCUUCCUAAUUCUUUUAGUUAUGGCUUCCCUAAUUUCAAUUUGUUGCUUCCAUUUUUCAGUUAUUACUAACCUUUUGACACAAUUUUUUUACAUUUUCUUCACCUAGGAGAAAUAGACUAUGUAAGAGUACUAAACCGAGUUCUGCCAAAUGACAUUCGCAUUAUGGGUUGGUCUCCUAUUCCAGUUGGUUUCAGUGCAAGGUUUGUACUGCUUUGUGUAACUUAUGCUCCCAGACCCAGUAAUCAUUUAUAGUUAGUGUUUGUUUGUGAAAAGCAUUUAAAAAAUACCCAACUCUUUUCUAAAAUGUCAUGCUUUCUUACAUUAUGUGUACUGGACUUCACAGUAUCACCCUUUUGAUAAUACCUAAGACAGAAAUAUUUUGCAUUUAGCAAGGUGUGGCCUAGUGGUUUCUGAAGUGAGUGCAAACCUUGGAGACCAAGAUCCAAUAGUUGAGAUGAUGCACAAGAUUGUCCGGGCAUCACCAUUACCCAAAAAAAAAGAAGAAACAUUCAAGUAGUAUAUGAGGUUUUGAAUACAAUCCACAAGGUAGGGGUAAGGUUUGCGUACACUUUACCCUCCUCUGACCCCACCUGUGGGAUCACACUGGGUUUGUUGUUGUUGUAGAAACAGGUCAAAUUUAGAAUAAGGGGGAACUCUUAAACCUUCAUACAAGAUCUUAUUAGAGAUCUCAGCUUCUCGUGAAAAUGAGCAAUGCUAAACUCUAUUCGGUAACUUAUCAUAGGCAGAAUUUAUCAAGUUGAUGUUGUCUCGAGGUAUAUUAGGUGCGCUCAUGACUAAACCUGAAAAGAGUAUGUUCGUGGAUCCCCUUGAAGUCAACUUUGGCAUCCUUAUCUCCUAAAAGUUGAGAAGCUAUACCAUAUUUUUUUCAGUUCUUCAUUAUAGUUUUACAGCCUUUUUGCCUUUCAAUAAUGCAGGUUCAGUUGUUUGAGCAGGGUGUACAAGUACUUCUUUUGGCAGGGAAACUUGAAUUUAACAGUGUGUACUUUUCCUUCUGAAAUCAGUUGACCUGGUUAUGCUGAUUUACUCCAAUUUUCAGCUAAACACUCUUGAAUUCUCAACAGGCCAUGCAAACUGCUGCGAAGAAAUUCUUAGGGGAACAUGAUUUCAGAAAUUUUUGCAAAAUGGAUGCAGACAAUGUGCACAACUACCGGCGGCACAUAAUAUCGUUUGAAAUUGUCCCCUUCAAUGAAAGGUUUUCUACUAUUAGCUUGACACUCUGCUUUUUCUACUUUGUGUCCCUUUUUAUACUUAUUCUCUACUUGUAGAGAGAGGGUUAUAAAUUGACCCAUGUGAUCUUUUUGAAGUUUUAUGACGCUUUGACUAUUUCCUCUCCUGAUUUGGUCGUGAUUAUGUAAUUGUUUUCUUUGAAUCGUGGUACUCUUGUUUCAAAAAGUCAAAGAAAGUUGCUACUUUAGGUAGAUAACCGAUGUUAGGAAAUACUAUAUCUGUUCCCAUGAAAGUUGAUAUUAAGGAGUAUUAAGCUAUAUUUGAGAUGGUGUGCGAUGUGAAGUUUGAGAAAUCCUAGAUACUGCUUUCCCCUGAUGGAGUUGUCACCUGACAUACAUUAUGCAGAAGUAUUUGCAAAUACUUGUAAAUAUGCAAUUGGAUAGUUGGUUGGUGAUUAUUUUAUUUUUUAUUUUCCUUCUUUUGGAUAAUGUUGGUAACAUUUUAUGAAUAUCUAGGGAUCUUAAAACUAGCUGAAAUCUGUGUCCUUUUAUCUUCUUUUUGCAUGUGCCUUUGAGUUUUUGGGUAUUUUUCCUUAAUUUUGUAUCAUUUGUCUAGUUAUUUUCAUGUUUGUGUAGUUUUAAGUUUGUUGAUAUGGUCAGUACUAAUUAGGACAAGAACUCUAUCUAAUUUUUUAUUAGCAAUUUAGAGCUGCUUCUACAUGAUGUACUCUUCUGCUCAUCAUCUAAAAUUUCUUACUGAAACCGGCUAUUUGCUUUUUUAAUACUAUCCAUAUACUGAUAUACAUGUUGAAAUGCUUUUCACUCCUCCAUGUAUAUUUUAAUUGUAGAGACAAUGAUGAUCAACUCAUGAUAAUGAAAAUCAAAGGCAGUGCUUUCCUUUGGCAUCAAGUCCGGUGCAUGGUUGCCGUAUUAUUUCUGAUUGGCCAGGGUCUUGAGUCCCCUAAUGUAUGAAAUUCAUGUCCUAACAAUAUUUUCUCUGAAACCUGUUGCUGAAACAUUUCAUUUGAUGUGAUCCAUUUUCUGGAGAACUUAAGAUUUUUCCUUUUGCUUCUUUUAGAACAAUAACUGAAGUUUUGUCAAUCUUGUGAUGAGCAGCUUGUGGAGUUUGACAUGAUUAUAUAUAAUACCAGAUCACUGGUCAACCAAGUCUACUCAACCUUGUUAUAUAAUGCUUUUUGUGUCCUCACCACCGUGUGAGUAGAAUCGGGGUAGUUCUUGUAUGCUUCUUUAAUCUGAUAGACCUUUUUAGUUUGUUCUCAGUCAAUUGAUGCCAUUAAGGUUUGGGCAGGUUGGGCUUUCUGCUCUGUGAAAAGUCUCUUUGAUGACUCAAUCUUAAAAUUAAUGAAUAAACAAGUCGAUAAUUUGCUUAAUCGUGAUUCUACGAUAUAUGUACAAAUGCACACAACCCAUUUUCUAAACACUGCUCGUGUUUCUAUAAUUUUCCUCAACUUCCUAAUUGGACAUAGCUUUCGGGGUUGUCUAUGUAAAGCCUUUGUGUUGAAUGGAUCUUAUGGUGAUUUAUUCUAAUUCAUGUAUCUUACCAUAAGGCAUAUUUCAAUUAUGAAAUCGUAGGUAAUUGAUUUGCUACUGGAUAUAGAAAGAACACCACGGAAACCUCAGUUCCCAAUGGCUCCAGAAAUACCUCUAGUUCUUCAAUCCUGUGAAUUCGAAGGCCUCAAAUUUAUUUGUUCAUCAGGUACUUUAAUGGUAUUUAUAUCCAGAAUUCUUUAGUCUUAUAUCAGUUCCAUUUUUUUUAGGAUCUGUGAAAACAAAAUUUUCUCUGUUUUUAUUUUACGUGAUGUUAGGUAAGGGUAAUCAUGUUCUAAUUUUAUUGUUUCUUAUGGUUCAUUCUCUUUUCCUGGAUCUUGUCAGCAUAUCUGUAUGGGUUAUCAAUUUACCCAUUUUUCCUUAACCUAACCCAGUAUAAACUCAAUGAAUUGCUAUUAGCAGCACUCUAAUCUCACUGAGGAGCUUUGGCACUAUUGCAUUUGUUGAUUUGUAUUCACUGUAGACUGAUGAUAUUGUCAAUUUGAUUGUGAGCUUUCUUUUGUUUUCCUUUGUUUAAUAAAGGAACUUGAUUACGAGUCUGUUAUAUUGAAGUAGUAGUACCAAAUAAUAAACAAUUUCUUUGAAUGGUAUUCAUCAAUAAUUCAUUCUUUUCUGGACUUGUUCCGUUCACCCAAUAUAUAUACAUUCUUUUCUUUUCUUUUAGUGGGUGUAACAACAUAGUGGCCUCUCUUCAAAAAAUUGCUUUUUGUGAUUAUAUAUAAUGUUAAAAAAGAAUGCUUUUGUGAUUAAGAUUCCAUUUUACUCAAGUCCCUCAUCUCCUUUCUUUGCGACUGUUUUUUGGGGGAAAAUAGACAUAAAUAUUUGAUAUUUGUUCUUGGUUGUGUUUUUAGAUAUGUGUGUUCUUUUUGUUAGACAACUUUUAUUGCACUAAUUGGGUAACGUACAAACACUUUUGUGGACAAUUUUCCCAGAUACAAAGCAGGCUUUGAAUGAACAUUUGGAGCGGGAAUGCCGAAGUUAUAAACUUCAAUCCGCAAUUUAUCAUGAAGCUUUGCUAAACUCAUCAUGUAUUGAAAUUGGUAGGUCAUUCAGUACUUGUACUUGAAUUUUUUUGACGUUUUCCACCUACAGCAUAUUUCUAAGCUAUAGAACUUGUUUUUUCUUAGUAAGUAAAUUAAUCCAGAUUGAAUUUUCAAUUUCAGACAACAAUAUAUCAAGUGACCAUACUAAGAAGAAACGAGCUUCCCACAUUCCUCUAUUGUCUCGACCAACUGAGCGUGAGUUCUUCUGGAUCUUUUAUCUCUUAUCAUUCAUUUGAUAAAACUUGCUUGAAUUUGGGACUUUCGACUGUGCUAUAAACAUCAAUAUUAACAUGUUCUUGAAAAAGAGUUAAUGGUCAAAAACACCUCAACUAUCAGUUCUAUGCGAGUUUCAUAUCCCAAUUAUCAAAUGUGAGAUUAUACAUAUACAUGCUCUGAAAAUGGGUCAAAAGGUGUAUUUAUUGUGAUUGCAAAUGGUUUCGUGGAGUAAUAGGAACUCCGCAAAUUUUAGGUAUCUACUUUUAAGAGGUGACCUUGUGUCUUUUGCUUAUUUUCCAGCAUCAUAUGAAGAGCGGCGUAAAAAGUUGGAUGCAUGAGCUGGAAUGGAAUGCCAAGAUAGGAAGUGUAUUAGGGGAGAUGAAAUGAAUGAGUGUUUUCUUUUUUUUUUUUCUAAUUUUAUCUUGUUGUAACAUUAAUUUGUACAUCGUGAUAUGAUUUAUUCUAAUACUAAUGAGUAUUUUCUGUUGCACUUCACUUUAUAUCUGCAACUGGGUUUGUGCAUAAAUCGUAUCAUUAUUGGUGCUAAUUACUCGCUGAAACAACGAAUUUACAUUUUUUCGCCAGUUAACUGUUUCGGAUAUCAAAUAUGCUUUGAUACAUUCAGCAAUUGCCUUUAGUGCAAUUAGUACUGAGUACCGAGUAAAAGAGGGGAGAGACGCGAGCAAGAGAAAAGAAGGAAAUUGGCCGGAAAUUAUUAAGUGAUAAGUGAUUAUUUAAUUAUUUUAAAGGAAAAUUGUAUAUAAUAGCAAACUAUUAAUUCAAAUUUAAUGCUAUAAAUAUACUUUAAUUUAGUUAUACCCUAUAGCAAACUUUAGCUAUUUUCGUCACUCACUCUCCUUAGUGGAAUCUCGCUCAUCACUCUCGUUUGGUGACAGUCUCGCUCGCCUUUCUCGCUUUUUAUAUAAACACAAAUGUAUAAAAUGCGUUUGUGUUUGUAUAAAGCGGGAGGAAAUUGUAUAAAUAUCUAUAUUUUCGCUCCUCGCUCUCCCUUCUCCCAGAUCUCGCUCUCCUCUCUCGCUUAUACAAACAGAUUUGAAACAUAAAUUGUGUUUCUGUUUGUAUAAAGCGAGAGAAGAUUGUAUAUACACAUGCAAAUACAUAUAUUUUCGUCUUAUACACUUAUAAUUAUAUAAUAAAAAUAAUCCCCUGCCCAGUUUCUUUUGUCGUUCUCUCUUUCUCGUUUUAUACAAAUUCAAAUUGUAUAUAAUUUCUCUCUUUCUCGCUUUAUACAAUUCGAUUCAAUUGUAUAUUCCCUGCCCAAGUCUCUUUUGCCUUUCUCUCUUUCUCAUUUUAUACAAAUUCAAACGGUACAUAGUCGUCCUAUACACUUAUGAUUAUACAAUACACAUAUUUUCCUACCCAAGUCUCUUUUUCCUUCCUCUCUUUCUUAUUUUAUACAGUUCACUGUAUAUAAUUUCUUUUUUUCUCGUUUUAUACAAUUCAUUUUAUACAAUUCGCUUCAAUUGUAUAUGUAUAGCGAGUUAUACAUAUAUAUAUAUAUAUAUGUGUGUGUGUGUGUUAUGGAGCACAAUUAUGCACACAUUGCUAUAGUAUACAAAUAUAAAUUUUGUGUUUACUAAAUAUCCCUAAGUAAUUAGUUAAUAAGGAUAUAAUGCAAUUUAUUUACUCUCAAUAAUUAUAGUUUCAUUUUUUUGCUAUAAUUAAUGGGACUCAUUUUUUAUAAACCCAACUAUAAAAUACUUUUUUAUGCUUUUAUAUAAUUUUAUAUAAAAUUAAUUUUUUCUCUGCAAUCCCUUUUUCAUAUCUUUUUCCUAAAAUUACUCUUAUACUCUUAUUUUGAAUUUCUAAUUUGGAUAAGUUACCACCGGCAUGACCGCUUUGAAAGUGUAAAUAACAUGAGACCUUUAUCCAUAGACUUGGAAUCGCGGUGUAAUGUGGCCAAUAGUAAACUAAAUCGUAUACAUGUCUUGCAAACUUCCCUUGAAGGAUUACCUUGUUUAAGAAUCCAUCUGGAUUGUUUGGACAUGUCACAAACUCAAUGAAAUUUGUACUAGUACUAUCCUUGGUUUUGUUUUUCCACUAAACUCAUACUUCUUCGAAUUCAAUAGCUUUGUUUUUUAUUUGUAAACAUUGAUUCAGAGGAGAUUGAAUAUGCGUCAUCAGAAUUGGACAAAUCUGAAGAACAUCAGGUAAUGUAAUUUAUAUAUAAAUUACAAAAAAAAUUAUGUACAUAGUGGGUUGUAUAUUAAGGUAAUAUAUACGAACUAAAGUUAUUUGUAUAUAUAUUCUAUUGUACAAGUAUUGUUUGAAGGAGUAAUAAUGCAGCCCAUUUUGUAAGGCCCAAAAACAUUUGGUUUGAAGAUUAGAAGAACGUGGAAACGGCUAAACUUUUGGCCGGAAAUGGCAAUUUGUGCUUCUGGUCCGUCCGGCAAAAUAGAUAAAACACUACCGGAGAUCAAUUUCCGAACAGCCGCUGUUCCUCCGGCCAACCUCCGCUCGUACUUGAGUUGUAAGUUUCUUCGUUGUACUCUCUUUUCUGUAUUACACUAAUCCUAUAAUUUGCUGCAAUGCAUUCUGUAAUUGUUAACUUUGUGUUUUUUCAUGAUUAUUCGCUUCUCAUAUUAGUCAAUUUUAUGAAAAACUCCUCUUAUAGCAUUGUCAGCACUUGUAAAAUCGUCCAAAAAAAGCAUUUUUAGUGCUUGUUAUAUAGUUUUAAGCUAUGUUACUCAGGCUCGCAAAAGAAUCAUAUGUUCCAAAAAUGCUCUACUUUUGGAGGAUCCGAUACGCACUUACCAACAUUUUUGAAGAGUAUGAAGAACAUAAGUUGUUAUGAUAUUAUUCCAGGGAAUGAGACUUGAAUGCGACACCGACUUAAUUGGGAGCUGAUGUGGGGCUUAUAUUACCUUGGACUCUCCCACUUCAGUAGCUUCAAUUUUCAACCAUCUCAAAUCAGUUAAUAUUAAAUAUUUCAAAAAUUUAACAAAGUUCGUAUAACUCAGGAUCCUAAUUUGUUUGUUCAGGUAUUAAUAUCACUUUAGUAAGAAUAGGUGUGUAACAGGUCGUCAUUCUAGUGUGAGCGUGAGGUCGACUUUUUGGGAAAAGUUUAGGGCGGAAUCUAUGUCUUUUUCCUAUUUCUAAUAUCCAAUUUAGUCCAUGUCUCCAUCAAUACAUCCAUUUGAGUUAAAAACUACUAUGUAAGGGAACAUGAUCUUUUUUGGUUGACUGGUAGUUUAGUAAACAAUCUUUGUCUGUCAAGAUCUUAAGUUACAUCAUGAAACGGUUGCAGUACUUACAAAUAAAGUUGUUAGUGCCUUAGUAUGUAAUAAUGUUUCUUUUUUCGUCAGACAUGCUUCCAAAUUUGUAAGGUCGACAGAAUCAGCUUGUUAAAAAUUUUACAUCAGCUGCAAGCAAUGCUACUUUGAGAACGAUUUGUCUGUGUAUCUUUUGAUUGGAUCAUGUAACUGCAAUGGUUUCUGAUUUGUCAUAUAUUUUAGUGGCAAAUUUUGUUUUGAGGCUAUUACACUAUUUUCCUUCCUCAUUCUUUGGUAUUUCUGGGUUUGUUUGUGCAGAUUCUAGUAUAAUGUUCUAUUAUUUCCAGGAUACAAUGUCAUAAUACUUAAUUACUCGUUGUUUUCUGGGUAGUGUUAUCUUUAUGACACGCUCCUUACGAAAAGCUAUCACAGUUUGCUCUGUCUUCCGAAAAAGCUACUCUUCCAUUCUUGCUGUCGCUUCAAAUGCCAUCAGAUUGACCUACAAUAGCACAUAUGUUCCGCUAUAUUUGGGAAUGGAGUCCUCAAUUUCAUAUGAAAACUAUAAACCAGGGGGUGUGAUGUUUUCUCGACAGUUCAGUUCCAGGAGAGAGUCAGAGACAUUAUCUUGGGGAGUAUCAUCUGACGUUGUUUUGCUGGGAAAGCUUGAAAGUGCAUUGAGGAAUCACAACUUGGAAGAGGCUUGGGAAACCUACAAGGAUUUCAAACGUCUUUACGGUUUCCCUGACCCCUUUCUUGUAGAUAAGCUUCUCACUAAGUUGUCGUACUCAUCUGAUUCUAGAUGGCUUAAAAAGGCAUGCAAUAUAGUCGGAUCUAUUUUGAAAGAGAAAAGGGAGAUGCUACGCACAGAGUUAAUGACCAAGCUCUGCCUAUCGUUGGCUAGAACUCAAAUGCCCAUUCAAGCAUCAUCAAUUCUCAGACUGAUGUUGGAGAAAGGAAAUCUCCCACCUAUUGACAUGCUAGGGAUGAUAAUAUUUCACAUGGUGAAGUCUGAUACUGGAAUGAUUGUGUCAUCAAACAUUUUGAUUGAGAUAUAUGGUAGCUCUCAUCAAUUAACUACAAAGAAAUCC